UGGGUACGAAGGACGAGAUGAAUAAAC
rnacentral:piRNA from 1 species